rnacentral:piRNA from 1 species
UCAUGUUCUCACUGCAGUGCAGUCCGGUC